AUACGUAGGGAGCGAGCGUUAUCCGGAUUUAUUGGGUGUAAAGGGUGCGUAGACGGGAAAUUAAGUUAUUUGUGAAAUCCCUCGGCUUAACCGAGGAACUGCAACUAAAACUGAUUUUCUUGAGUAUUGGAGAGGAAAGUGGAAUUCCUAGUGUAGCGGUGAAAUGCGUAGAUAUUAGGAGGAACACCAGUGGCGAAGGCGACUUUCUGGACAAUAACUGACGUUGAGGCACGAAAGUGUGGGGAGCAAACAGGAUUAGAUACCCUGGUAGUCCACACUGUAAACGAUGGAUACUAGGUGUAGGGUGUGAUAAACGCUCUGUGCCGUCGCUAACGCAGUAAGUAUCCCACCUGGGGAGUACGACCGCAAGGUUGAA
rnacentral:rRNA from 1 species